rnacentral:miRNA from 3 species
AAAGUGCUUCCUUUUAGAGGGU